AAAAGGUUUCCUCUGAAAUGAGCAGAAGAUACUGAGAUUUGUAUUGAUAAGAGGUGAAAGGCUGAAAAUUCUGCUUAAAAUAGGUGAAUCAGCAGAAUUUCUACUGAAAAGAGGUAAAGAAGUAGAACGUUGCACUGAAAACAGGUGAAUCAGCAGAAUGUCUGCUAAAAAAGAGAUUUCUGUUGAAAACACCUGAAAAAGCUGGAAUUUGUGCUGAAAAGGGGUGAAAAAACUCACAAUUCUGCUGAAACGGGGUGAAGAAGAGGUGUUGGGCUGUUGAGAAGCGUUAAAUAAGUUGAACUGAUAUGUUUGGGUACAAAUACUAUGAUUUGGCAAUAAUACUGCGUUUUAGCACAACUCCUGAGAUUUGAUUGAAAUACUAUGAUUUAGAAGAAAUAUUAUGACUUUGU
ensembl:lncRNA